CAGGCAUCGCUCAUGCCUCUUUUUUUCCCCCCCUUCUUUCCACCUUCUGCUCUAUAAUUGCCCGCCUCCUUUCUCUAUCCUUUUGCCUUAUCAGAUGCGGCGCAGCGAGGGGAAGAGCGGCCAGAGGGGAGGGAAGCGGUUCUCCCGCAGCCGCCUCAACACCCACAGCCUCGCGUGAAAACGAGCGGCCGCACCCCCACCGGCUGCUCCCCCGCUGAUGCCCGCACAGACCUGCUGAUACUGUGUGUAUUGAGGAGAAGAAGAUGCUUUGUCGGUAUGAGAUACGGAGCUGUUUCUUCUUGGCUUUUUUAGCUGUCACAGCUUUCUUCAUCAGUGAUGCCCAGGGCCAAGUGUCCCCGCCAACAAGACUAAGAUAUAAUGUAGUCAGUCCUGACAGUGUACAGAUCUCUUGGAAAGCCCCCAAGGGGCAAAUCACUGGAUAUAAGCUUCUUGUCACUCCAAGUUCAGGUGGAAAAACCAAUCAAUUAAUUCUUCAAAACACUGCAACCAAAGCAAUUAUUCAAGGUCUUAUUCCAGAUCAGAACUAUGCCCUUCAGAUCAUUGCAUUCAGUGAAGACAAGGAGAGUAAGCCAGCACAAGGCCAGUUCAGAAUUAAAGAUAUAGAGAGAAGAAAAGAAACAAGUAAAUCCAAGGUGAAAGAUCCAGAAAAAACAAAUGCGAGUAAACCAGCUCCAGAAGGAAGCCUGUUUACCUGUAAAACUCCAGCAAUUGCAGAUAUUGUGAUACUGGUAGAUGGUUCUUGGAGUAUUGGCAGAUUCAAUUUCAGGCUUGUUCGACUGUUCCUGGAAAAUCUGGUUUCUGCUUUCAAUGUGGGAUCUGAGAAAACAAGAGUAGGUCUUGCACAGUACAGUGGUGAUCCCCGAAUUGAAUGGCAUUUGAAUGCUUAUAGUACAAAAGAUGCUGUGUUGGAUGCAGUCCGUAAUCUACCAUAUAAGGGAGGGAAUACAUUAACAGGUCUUGCCUUAACAUACAUUUUGGAAAACAGCUUUAAGCCUGAAGCAGGUGCAAGACCUGGAGUAUCUAAAAUUGGUAUACUGAUCACUGAUGGGAAGUCCCAAGAUGAUGUUAUCCCUCCUGCUAAAAACCUGCGAGAUGCUGGAAUUGAGCUUUUUGCUAUUGGUGUAAAGAAUGCAGAUAUAAAUGAACUCAAAGAGAUUGCCUCUGAACCUGACAGCACACACGUCUAUAACGUUGCUGACUUUAACUUCAUGCAUACGAUUGUUGAAGGUCUUACCAGAACAGUGUGCUCACGAGUAGAGGAACAGGAAAAGGAAAUCAAAGGAACAAUUGCUGCUUCACUUGGGGCUCCUUCAGAUUUGGUCACAUCCGAGGUAACAGCUAGAGGAUUCCGGGUUAGCUGGACCCAUGCACCAGGCAAAGUGGAAAAAUACAGGGUUGUGUACUAUCCCACUCGAGGAGGACAACCAGAAGAGGUUGUGGUAGAUGGAAGCUUAUCAACAGCAGUUCUAAAAAACCUGAUGUCUUUAACUGAAUACCAGAUAGCUGUAUUUGCUAUAUACUCAAAUGCUGCUAGUGAGGGCCUCCGUGGAACUGAAACUACACUUGCCUUGCCAAUGGCAUCGGAUCUGCAAUUGUACGAUGUGUCACAGAGCAGCAUGAGAGCGAAGUGGAAUGGAGUAGCGGGUGCCACAGGUUACAUGAUCCUAUAUGCUCCCCUCACGGAAGGAUUGGCAGCAGAUGAGAAAGAGAUAAAAAUUGGGGAGGCCUCAACAGAUCUUGAACUGGAUGGACUAUUGCCAAACACAGAAUAUACAGUCACAGUUUAUGCCAUGUUUGGAGAAGAAGCUAGUGAUCCUCUUACAGGACAAGAAACUACAUUGCCUCUAAGUCCACCAGCAAACUUGAAAUUUUCCGAUGUUGGACACAGUAGUGCUAAGCUAACAUGGGAUCCCGCUUCCAAAAACGUAAAUGGCUAUCGCAUCAUGUACGUUAAAACAGAUGGAACAGAAACCAAUGAGGUGGAAGUUGGUCGAGUUGCAACCCAUACUCUAAAAAGCCUGACAUCCCUUACAGAGUAUACUGUUGCUAUUUUCUCCCUGUAUGAUGAAGGACAAUCUGAACCACUUACUGGCAGCUUUACUACAAAAAGAGUUCCAGCUCCCCAGCAUUUGGAAAUUGAUGAAGCAUCAACAGAUAGUUUUAGGGUCAGCUGGAAGCCCACCUCCUCCGAUAUUGCUUUUUACAGAUUGGCGUGGAUUCCUUUGGAUGGAGGGGAAUCUGAAGAGGUUGUCAUAAAUGGAGAUACAGACAGUCAUGUUAUUGAGGGUUUAUUGCCCAACACAGAAUAUGAAGUUUCUUUGCUGGCAGUUUUUGAUGAUGAAAGUGAAAGUGAAGUUGUUGCUGUUCUUGGAGCUACAUUUGCAAGGACUACGCCAGUUCCUACAACGGUGACUACUACCAGUACUACAACUUCUAAGUCCACCACAGCAGUUUUUCGAACAGGAAUCAGGAACCUUGUUAUAGAUGAUGAAACAACCUCAAGCCUGAGGGUGAUAUGGGACAUUUCAGAUUACAAUAUUCAGCAGUUCAGAGUGACCUAUCUCACUGCGAAAGGUGACCGUGCUGAGGAAGUGGUAAGAAUGGUAAUGGUGCCUGGGAGACAAAACACUCUUCUGCUUCAACCUCUGCUGUCUGACACAGAGUACAAAGUUACCAUCACUCCCAUCUAUUCUGAUGGGGAAGGAGUCAGCAUCUCAGCACCUGGCAAAACUCUACCCUUGUCUGCUCCUAGAAAUUUACGUGUCUCAGAUGAAUGGUACAACAGAUUACGUAUCAGUUGGGAUGCCCCGCCAUCACCAACAAUGGGUUACAGAAUUGUCUACAAACCAGUCAACAUCCCUGGUCCUGCGUUGGAGACCUUUGUAGGGGAUGAUAUUAAUACCAUUCUCAUUCUAAAUCUCUUCAGUGGAACGGAGUACAGUGUUAAAGUAUUUGCUUCAUACUCAACAGGCUUCAGUGAUGCCCUAACAGGCGUAGCCAAAACCUUGUACCUGGGUGUGACAAAUUUGGAUUCCUAUCAAGUCCGCAUGACUAGCCUCUGUGCUCAGUGGCAGCUUCACAGACAUGCUACCGCAUACAGGGUAGUUAUAGAAUCGCUUGUGGAUGGUAAAAAGCAAGAGGUAAAUCUUGGUGGAGGGACACCUAGACAUUGUUUCUUUGAGCUGAUGCCUGGAACUGAAUAUAAAAUCAGCGUUCAUACACAGCUUCAGGAGAUAGAGGGCCCUGCUGUAAGCAUCAUGGAGACAACAUUACCAUUUCCAACUCAACCGCCAACAACACCUUCAACACCACCUCCACCACCUACAAUCCCUCCUGCAAAAGAAGUGUGCAAAGCAGCCAAAGCUGACCUAGCGUUCCUGGUGGAUGGGUCAUGGAGUAUUGGAGAUGACAAUUUCAAUAAAAUAAUUAGCUUUCUUUAUAGCACUGUUGGAGCUUUGGAUAAGAUUGGUCCUGAUGGAACACAGGUGGCAAUAAUUCAGUUCAGUGAUGAUCCCAGAACAGAAUUUAAAUUGAAUGCAUACAAAACAAAAGAGACACUUCUUGAAGCUAUUCAGCAAAUAGCUUACAAAGGAGGAAAUACAAAAACAGGCAGAGCCAUUAAACAUGCAAGAGAAGUCUUGUUUACUGGAGAGGCAGGCAUGAGAAGGGGCAUUCCAAAGGUUUUGGUUGUCAUUACUGACGGGCGAUCACAGGAUGAUGUGAAUAAAGUCUCCAGAGAAAUGCAACUCGAUGGUUUCAGCUUUUUUGCUAUUGGAGUAGCUGAUGCUGACUAUUCCGAGUUGGUUAAUAUUGGCAGCAAGCCCAGUGAAAGACAUGUCUUCUUUGUGGAUGACUUUGAUGCCUUUACGAAGAUUGAAGAUGAGCUGAUCACUUUUGUUUGUGAAACUGCAUCAGCAACCUGCCCAUUGGUAGUUAAAGAUGGCAACAAUUUUGCAGGAUUUAAAAUGAUGGAAAUGUUUGGUUUGGUUGAAAAGGAGUUUUCAGCUGUGGAAGGAGUUUCAAUGGAACCUGGUACAUUUAAUGUUUACCCAUGUUACAGACUGCACAAGGAUGCUCUGGUAUCCCAGCCUACCAAGUAUUUGCAUCCUGAAGGUCUCCCUUCUGAUUACACCAUUACGUUUCUCUUUCGUAUACUGCCCGACACACCUCAGGAGCCAUUUGCUCUUUGGGAGAUUUUAAAUGAAGGAUAUGAACCACUGGUUGGAGUUAUUUUAGAUAAUGGUGGUAAAACUCUGACCUUCUUUAACUACGACUACAAAGGAGAUUUUCAAACUGUGACUUUCGAAGGUCCUGAAAUAAGGAAGAUAUUUUAUGGGAGUUUCCAUAAGUUGCAUGUUGUUAUCAGCAAGACUACGGCCAAAAUAAUUAUUGACUGCAAGCAAGUGAGUGAGAAGACCAUUAACGCAGCAGGGAAUAUUAGUUCUGAUGGCAUAGAAGUGCUGGGGAGAAUGGUCAGAUCCAGAGGACCAAGAGACAACUCUGUGCCAUUGCAGUUACAGAUGUUUGACAUUGUUUGUGCUACCUCAUGGGCCAAUCGAGACAAAUGUUGUGAGCUUCCUGGCUUGAGAGAUGAGGAAAAUUGCCCUGCCCUUCCUCAUGCUUGUUCCUGUUCAGAAGCUAAUAAGGGUCCCCUUGGGCCUCCUGGACCACCGGGUGGUCCAGGUGUCAGAGGUGCCAAAGGUCAUCGUGGCGAUCCAGGUCCAAAGGGACCAGAUGGACCUCGAGGUGAAAUUGGUGUUCCUGGACCACAAGGACCUCCAGGACCACAAGGACCCAGUGGACUUUCUAUUCAAGGGCUUCCAGGGCCACCAGGUGAAAAGGGAGAGAAGGGAGAUCUUGGUUUUCCUGGCCUGCAGGGUGUCCCAGGAGCAUCAGGUUCACCUGGAAGAGAUGGAGCUCAAGGUCAAAGGGGUCUUCCUGGCAAAGAUGGACCCACAGGCCCACAAGGACCUCCUGGCCCAAUGGGCAUACCUGGUACUCCAGGUGUUCCAGGUGUCACUGGAAGCCAGGGGCCGCAAGGUGAUGUUGGAGCUCCUGGUCCUCCUGGAGCUAAGGGCGAAAGGGGUGAGCGGGGUGAUCUCCAGUCCCAAGCGAUGGUGCGUGCUGUUGCUCGGCAAGUGUGUGAACAACUCAUCCAGGGUCAUAUGGCAAGAUACAACUCAAUUCUGAACCAGAUUCCAAGCCAGUCUGUCUCAACACGGACCAUCGCAGGACCUCCUGGUGAGCCAGGUCGGCCAGGGGCUCCAGGGCCACAGGGAGAACAAGGAUCACCAGGCAUGCAAGGGUUUCCAGGAAGUCCUGGUCAACCGGGAAGACCAGGAGAAAGAGGUUUACCAGGCGAGAAAGGAGAAAAAGGCAAUCCAGGUGUUGGAACACAAGGACCCCGAGGCCCACCAGGAUCUACAGGACCUCCAGGAGAAAGUCGAACUGGCAGCCCCGGACCACCAGGUUCUCCAGGCCCACGAGGUCCCGCCGGUCAUAUGGGGCCCCCAGGCUCGCAGGGUCCUUCUGGCCCACCAGGCUACUGUGAUCCGUCCUCCUGCGCUGGUUACGGCAUGGGAGGCCCAAUCCCUUACAAUGGCUACCGAUCCAGAAGGUGAAAGGCUCACUCUGGUUCAGGUCUCAUUUGGCUGAAGGUCAGAGGUGGAUGCUGAACUGUUCUGUGCUUUCCAUCAACGAUAUUGACUACCACUAAUGAACUUACUAGCUGCUGUACAUGCACUUUGCUUCCUUGCACUGCUAAAAAUUAUUGCCUGACCCAUUUUUUGCCUUUUAAUCAUGUAUUCUAGCCCAUAAUUGGAAUAAGCUAAAGCAGGCAGGUUGUGCAGUGUAUAACGAGUGCAGUAUUACAACUGGACGUUUGACAAAUCCCGGUGGUGGUUUCCAACUAACUUGGCUGUCUGUUGGUGGGUUUCCAAUUGCUCCAGCUUAUUAAUUUUGUUGAAUGUUUUCACUGUUCCUUUCUGUGAAUAAAAGAUGUGUAUUUAAAGAUUAUAUAUCUCCUCACACACAUUAUAUAUAAAUAUAUCUCUAUAUAAAAUGUCAAUUUCCUAAUGAUUGCUUUAAUUUUCUACUCCCCUUCUCCUGUGUUAACCGUAUGAAUGCUCUUGGUGGUGGUGGGUUAAGGUGGAUACGGUGAGCCAACUGAUCAAGACAUCCCAGUAGUGCAGUUGCCACAUAACUCCUACCAAAUCUAUGACCCCGAGGACCUUUAUGAUGAGUUUACUCCCGUUUGAGAAGAGAUGGAAGCUCUUGAACUGAGAUCCCCGGGAAUUAGUCGCUUCACCAGGAAGAUAGCCAAAAGGAGCGUCCAGACUCCAGCGCGCAAAAGGGUGAAUGGGAAAAAACCCUCUCAAUGAACUGUUUAAAAAAAGGGAAACGUUUUACGUGCAUCUGUGUGUGGCCUUUUGUCCAGGUGCCUAACCUGUCACGGAAGAGGUUUACAGGCUCUUGAAUUCAAGGAGGGAGAAAGAAAAAAGGACGUGCUCAGUUGACACAAGAAGUAAUGGUAAUUAUCUUGCAUGCCAGAACCUUAGUAUGUUAGUGGGUUGGUGCUAGAUGAAGAUGAAAGGUCACCUGUAGAUCUUUCUCUGGAGUACUGUUCCAUACGCUAUUCAAACUGUAUCUAAAAAACUGCAUCUGGCUACUUGGUGUUUGUAGAACCAUUCAGAAAAGUUAAUGUUCUUUUUUAUCCGUGUUUUUCCAGUUGAUUGUUCUGUUAGUUUUGGAUGAAUUGUUUUACUAGCAGAGUAACCCUGCUAAAUUCACUGGAGAACAAUGCAUAAUCAGGCUUCCUUGAACCCAGCUAUUACUUUUGCAAAGAAAUCUUGUGUUAAUGGAAUAUUUUUUUUUUUUAACCCACAUUAUAUAAAUACACAUGAAUGUUCCAUGGGAGCACACUGGUAAUUUAUUGUGAACCUCUUUCAUUUCUGUUUUGUAUGCAAAUAAAAGUGGCAAGCUUUUUAUACGUUAAUUCUGUAUUUGAUUGAUUUUUAACUUGG